rnacentral:rRNA from 1 species
GAUGAACGCUAGCUACAGGCUUAACACAUGCAAGUCGAGGGACCGGCGCACGGGUGAGUAACACGUAUCCAACCUGCCCUUUACUCGGGGAUAGCCUUUCGAAAGAAAGAUUAAUACCCGAUAUAAAGGAUGGGGAUGUGUUCCAUUAGGUUGGUGGUGAGGUAACGGCUCACCAAGCCUUCGAUGGAUAGGGGUUCUGAGAGGAAGGCCCCCCAGAUUGGAACGAAGGCCCGGUCCAAACUCCUACGGGACGCAGCAGUGAGGAGUAUUGUUCAAGGGGCGCUAGCCUGACCCAGCCAAGUAGCGUGAAGAAGGAAGAGUUUUGGAUCGUAAUUUUCUUUUAUAUAAGAAUAGGUAUUAGAAGAAUAAGGAUCGGCUAACUCCGUGCCAGCAGCCGCGGUAAUAC